GACGAACGCUGGCGGCGUGCUUGACACAUGCAAGUCGAACGGAAAGGCCGGCUUUCCCUUGUGGAUUGCGGGUACUCGGGUGGCGAACGGGUGAGUAACACGUUAGUGAUCUGCCCUCACCUUGGGUAUAAGCCUGGGAAACUGGGUCUAAUUCCCGAUAGGACGGCAGGGUGGUGCCCGGGGUGGGAAAUGAUUUUCUAGUGGUUGGGGAUGAGCUCGCGGCCUAUCAGAGUGCUGGCGGGGCAACGGUCCACCAAGGCGGGGACGGGUAGCCGGCGUGAGAGGGUGGACGGCGGAAUUGGGACUGGGAUACGGCCCCGACUCCUACGGGAAGCAGGAAAGGGGAGUCAUGGGCAGUGGGCGGAAGCCUGAUGCAGCGAGGCCGCGUAGGAGAUGACGGGCUUGGGGUGGUAAUCUACUUUCGACCGAGAGCAAGCCGCCUGGUUGGAAGGGUGGUGACGGUAGUGGUAGAAGAAGCACCGGCUAACUACGUG
rnacentral:rRNA from 1 species